rnacentral:rRNA from 1 species
CACCAGUGGCGAAGGGGACUCUUUGGUCUGUAACUGACGCUGAGGCGCGAAAGCGUGGGGAGCAAACAGGAUUAGAUACCCUGGUAGUCCACGCCGUAAACGAUGAGUGCUAAGUGUUAGAGGGUUUCCGCCCUUUAGUGCUGCAGCAAACGCAUUAAGCACUCCGCCUGGGGAGUACGGCCGCAAGGCUAAACUCAAAGGAAUUGACGGGGGCCCGCACAAGCGGUGGAGCAUGUGGUUUAAUUGGAAGCAACGCGAAGAACCUUACCAGGUCUUGACAUCUUUGACACUCCUAGAGAUAGGACGUUCCCCUUCGGGGGACAGAGUGACAGGUGGU